AAUAAAGUGCCUGAUAAAAGGAUUAUCUUGAUAGGAUAAAUCAUGUACACCCUGUACUUUUAUUA
rnacentral:tRNA from 1 species